UCUCUACCAACAUCAGCCGCCACCGCAACCUAUCACGACUUAACCGCCCAGUUACCUCCGACCAGCCACUUCCGGCCAGCCGUCCAGCCACUACCGCCACCAAGUGCCACUCACAAAAUUAAUUUACUUUGUCUUUCCUAAGUUAAGAAAGUUGAACCUACUUCUUUGAUCUUGUUUGGGUUUAAAACAAAGGGGAUUUGACACCAUAAAUCCUUUAUGUUUGUUCACUUGGGACUUCUUCAAGGGUCUCAACACCUGGGUUGGCUCAUUGGAUAGUAUUUGAAGCUUAUUGCUUAAGCUUGUGAAGUUUGUAUCUACAGGAGGUCAGGAAAAUGUUCAGGAUCAACUGCAGGAGACGUGACUGUGCGGUGUAGCCUGUGUUUACUAGAUGUCUAUUUCCUUACCUUUAUUUAGUAUUGUUUAGACGUUUAAAUUGUUGAAUAUCAUGUAUGACUCAAUCACCUCUGCUUUGAGCUAUUGUCUUGUUUCCACCGCGAUAUGGACCAUUGAGGUCUUAAUUACCAUGAUAGUAUUGAAUUAU